AGAAUUGGUAAGUUGCUAGGUCAAUGGGAGAAAAUAAAACUGUCUUCUUUUUCCUGUGGCUCCUAUCUGUCCAAGCUAUCUGCCGUUUUUCUGCAGGGUGGGGGAAAGUGUACUCGGUUGCUAGGCAACCAGUGUACAGCUAGAUGCUUCUGGUGACAGGUAAAGGGAGAUCUGGAACUAGAGUGUAAGACAGCAAGAGGAAAAAUUAGGGUCCACCCAGGCAAAAGAUGUAUCAAAUGGAGGAAAUCCUGAUUCAGCAACCUUUGUGCUCUUCUAACAUUUACCACAUGCUCAACAAAUAUGUACGGAUUAGAUCAAGUUGACAAAGACCUUGUCUCCAGGAAAAUUUACAUGCUAGGUGCCAUAUGCAUAUAAUGCUGCAAAAUAAUACUGAACGAGCCAAGGGACAUGGAAAAGGUCAAACGGACUGCCUCACAAGAGCUUGUUCCAGCACUUUCAAACCCAGAUAAUGCAAUGAUUGGUCUUUCAGGAGCCUCCGGAUAAUGCAUUCCAGAUCCAAAGAAACAUUUCUGCUGGCUGAUCAAGGCAGUAGUUUCUUCAAGUGCAGUGUGGAGCUGUGGAAAUUCCUUUAACAACACAAUAAUGAAUUUUGCUGUAUCAAAUAUUCACAGAAGAUCUUUCAGUAAGAAGGUCAGUCAUGGGAAGACUGGAGGAGAAGGGAAGGGCAGAGGACUGGGAAACAUUCACCUGAGAAACCAAGCACAUUUCCUUCAGUGUCGUCCCUGCUGCUCAUGGAGAUCCUGUUUUUGAUCUACAUUGAGGCAUCAUGUUCUUACCAGAAAAGUGACAUCCUCAACCACCUGAGACUAGCAAGGAGAUCUCCCCAAGGCUGACCAAUACUGCCACAGCUGGCUACAUAGAAUUUGUCUUGGCUCUGUCUUCAGGACAACUGUCUGACAACCUUUUGUGCAGCCUUUGGAAGUCUGAAUAAACACACUUAGAAAUGAUGUCAAUGUAAACCGGCCUGCAGGAAUGAACGGAAGGCAGAGUGCAUGGCAGAGGAAAUAACCCACUUGUUUUCUUGCCCGAUUUUCAUUCACUUUGGAGUAACAUAUUAAGCAUUUUGGAUCUUGAAGAUAGAAAUACAAUAAAUGGCUUGUAAAAUAAGACUUGUGUUUGCCUGUUAAUUAUCAGAAGCUCCUUUCAUCUAAAGAAUGGCUUCUCUAGAGUGAUGCUCGCACUAAAGCAUCAUAAUGUCUACAGCAAAAUAGCUGAAGUAUCCCUAAGCCAAAAGACAAGAAACUCGCGUCAAGCAGUGGAUGCUUCCUCAGACAGUUCACAAAUUAUUGUCAAUUCUGCAUGUGCAAUUCUCCUUUAUUUUAUUUAUAACAAAUUCCAUUAUUAAAGUCAUAUUAAGA